rnacentral:lncRNA from 1 species
GCGUAUAUGUUAGAAUCAAAUUCAAGACCCCGUGUGUUAAGCAACUAUUUAUUCAGCUUACUAAAUGUAGUAAGCAAAGCAAGGAUGAUAGAUGACGUUGUUCUACCCUAAAUAAUGUAUCUAGUAGUAAUAAAGUAUAGUAUAGAAAUUGCUUCUGAUUCCAAUACCAUUGAGUUUGCGCAUCCGACAUGUCAUCUAUAUGGAUCGGCUGUUUCUUCAUUGAUAUCUCUGACAAAAUCCUAGGCAUAAGAGAGUAUCUUGAUCCCUGACUGCUAAUAAACUGUGCUGGAGCGCACCUAAGAAAGGAAUAAAAUAAAAUCCUACACCAACCUGGAAGAUUUGAACCGGCAAACAACAGAAAUUAAUGACUAAACAAACAAUUUACUGUUCCUAGAAGACUGCACAUGCAUGCUCAAUUUGACUUACUUUCACAGCAAAUCUGAAAGCCAUGUGUCAUACAACCAAAUUCAUUAAAAGAAGCGUUAACACUUUUUUUUUUUCUAAAAGGGGCAGAAAUUAAACAGCAUCAGAGUGCCUAAACGAAAAGGAAAACGUAAAAUACGAAAUGCAGAAGUUGAACCAAGGCGAAAGCUAGGCCAGGGUACAAUGCGACAGCGGAAGAAGAGUGUCCCCGAGCACGAUUGCCUUUUAUAAUAUGGCCUCCUCCUCUGCCUCUGGCGCCGCCACCUUUGCCACCUGCUUUUCCUAGCACCGUUGAUACCAUCAGAGCGAGAGCGAUGCCAAUGACCAUGAGUAUUAGAAUCAUGUUGGCAGACUUCUUAGCUGAUGGGAGCUUGGUCAUCUUCGUUAUCGUAGUUGAGACCUCCAACGCAGCGGCUCUUAAAAUAAAGGGGAAUGUUGCUUAGAAAGAAAGCUGAGUGCAAAAUCAUAUAAAGGAAGGGUAGGCUAUAGCUUUCUUCAUUAGAAAGGGAAAGCAGAAAGCUUUCCUUUAAUAAAUACACCUUAUCAUUUUUCUCAGUUUAUUUCAGAUUCUAGUGAUGUGAGGGAGAAGAAAGAGAAAAAGGUUGCAGUUGCCCGCGUCCAAACGAAGAAAUAUAUACUAUGUAGAUAAAUGGCUGUCAUUUCAGCUGGACUGAGCCCGCUUCUCUAACACAUUUAUGG